UCUUAAAGUAAACUUUAAGUUAUCUAUCUAAAGUGGAAGAGAGAACGGACAUAAUUUUUAUUAUUAAAACAAGUUAUUUAAGUGAUACAUACAAGGAAACUGAUAAUUUUUCCAAGAAAGUAACAUAAAUGGAACAGACAAAGUUUAUUUGUCUUAUUCUUUUUCUCGGAGUUUCAUAUGGAAAAGUGAACGACAGUUCUUUAUGUCCAACUUUCGUCAACCAAGAAAAUUGUUGUUCUGGAUAAAGAAUGAUAAACGGAAGCUGUACAGAGUGUGUUGGUUUUUUUGGAAAAAACUGCGCAACCCCGUGUCCAGUAAAUUUUUAUGGUGUGAAGUGUGAUUCUGAAUGUAGCUGUACGGAGGAGGAAGAAUGUAAUCCAUAUGUUGGAUGUCUUCAUACCAUGUGUAAGAUUUAUUAUGUAACAGAAAGUCUUCCUUAAAAAGACAGAGUUCAUUUGUUCAUUUCUGUUUAUUUUUAGAUAAUUGUUUAAAACACUUUAUUGGAAGUUGAAUUGGACUUUCGGUUGAAGGAAGUUAAAAUAAAAACCAUCACAUAUUAAACACUACUUACAAUUUAGUAAUUUGAUAUUAAUUAUCUACAAAAGACACAAAAUAUAUACUAACUAAUCUGCUAAUGACACAAAAAAUAUAUUCAUAUACAUCGGUAAUAAGAAAUCAAAAGCCUGUUGAAUAUCUUUUU